rnacentral:rRNA from 1 species
AACGAACGCUGGCGGCAUGCCUAACACAUGCAAGUCGAACGAAGACUUCGGACUUAAUGGCGCACGGGUGCGUAACGCGUGGGAAUCUGCCCUUAGGUACGGAAUAACUCAGGGAAACUUGUGCUAAUACCGUAUGAUGUCUUCGGACCAAAGAUUUAUCGCCUAGGUAUGAGCCCGCGUAGGAUUAGCUAGUUGGUGAGGUAAAGGCUCACCAAGGCGACGAUCCUUAGCUGGUCUGAGAGGAUGAUCAGCCACACUGGGACUGAGACACGGCCCAGACUCCUACGGGAGGCAGCAGUGGGGAAUAUUGGACAAUGGGCGAAAGCCUGAUCCAGCAAUGCCGCGUGAGUGAUGAAGGCCUUAGGGUUGUAAAGCUCUUUUACCCGGGAAGAUAAUGACUGUACCGGGAGAAUAAGCCCCGGCUAACUCCGUGCCAGCCGCCGCGGUAA